rnacentral:rRNA from 1 species
GACGAACGCUGGCGGCGUGCUUAACACAUGCAAGUCGAACGGAAAGGCCCUGCUUUUGUGGGGUGCUCGAGUGGCGAACGGGUGAGUAACACGUGAGUAACCUGCCCUUGACUUUGGGAUAACUUCAGGAAACUGGGGCUAAUACCGGAUAGGAGCUCCUGCUGCAUGGUGGGGGUUGGAAAGUUUCGGCGGUUGGGUAUGGACUCGCGGCUUAUCAGCUUGCUGGUGGGGUAGUGGCUUACCAAGGCUUUGACGGGUAGCCGGCCUGGGAGGGUGACCGGCCACAUUGGGACUGAGAUACGGCACGGACUCCUACGGGGGGCAGCAGUGGGGAAUAUUGCACAAUGGGCGGAAGCCUAAUGCAGCAACGCCGCGUGCGGGAUGACGGCCUUCGGGUUGUAAACCGCUUUCGCCUGUGACGAAGCGUGAGUGACGGUAAUGGGUAAAGAAGCACCGGCUAACUACGUG